rnacentral:rRNA from 1 species
UACGUAGGGUGCAAGCGUUAAUCGGAAUUACUGGGCGUAAAGCGUGCGCAGGCGGUUUUGUAAGACUGUCGUGAAAUCCCCGGGCUUAACCUGGGAAUGGCGAUUGUGACUGCAAGGCUAGAGUUUGGCAGAGGGGGGUAGAAUUCCACGUGUAGCAGUGAAAUGCGUAGAUAUGUGGAGGAACACCGAUGGCGAAGGCAGCCCCCUGGGUCAAAACUGACGCUCAUGCACGAAAGCGUGGGGAGCAAACAGG